rnacentral:rRNA from 1 species
UGGGGAAUAUUGGGCAAUGGGCGCAAGCCUGACCCAGCAACGCCGCGUGAAGGAAGAAGGCUUUCGGGUUGUAAACUUCUUUUGUUCAGGGACGAGUAGAAGACGGUACCUGACGAAUAAGCCCCGGCAAACUACGUGCCAGCAGCCGCGGUAAUACGUAGGGGGCGAGCGUUAUCCGGAUUUAUUGGGUGUAAAGGGUGCGUAGACGGUUAUGCAAGUUGGUUGUGAAAUCCCGAGGCUCAACUUCGGAACUGCAACCAAAAACUGUGUAACUCGAGUGCGGGAGAGGAAAGCGGAAUUCCUAGUGUAGCGGUGAAAUGCGUAGAUAUUAGGAGGAAC